CCCUUCUACACUGGCCCAAACUCUUAUGAAAUCAGUAUUUAAAGCCCCAAUUUCAUGAGAAUUUGGUGCUCGUGCAGGCGGC
ensembl:miRNA aca-mir-9577 aca-mir-9577